UACACGCUGUGACUAGCAUAUCAAUAAGCGGAGGAAAAGAUCACAUUUUGGUUACCUACGCUUGGGAUGUUGACGAGACUGUCGAUCUCAUCUAUACAUGACUCUGUGCAUAUCAAUAAGCGGAGGAAAAGAAACUAACAAGGAUUCCCCUAGUAACGGCGAGUGAAGCGGGAAGAGCUCAAAUUUGAAAUCUUAAAGGGUUUCCCUUUACGAAUUGUAGUUUAAAGAAGUGUUUUCUGUUGAGGUUUUGGUAAAAGUUCUUUGGAAUAGGACAUCAUAGAGGGUGAGAAUCCCGUAUUUGACCUUUACUUUCAACUUUGUGAUACACUUUCAAGGAGUCGGAUUGUUUGGGAAUGCAGUCCAAAAUGGGUGGUAAAUUUCAUCUAAAGCUAAAUAUUGGCGAGAGACCGAUAGCGAACAAGUACCGUGAGGGAAAGAUGAAAAGAACUUUGAAAAGAGAGUUAAACAGUACGUGAAAUUGUCAAAAGGGAAGCGUUUGACACCAGUGUUGUUUUUCUGAAAAUCAAUUAAAGAACUGUUUAUGCUAAGUUGUUUAGACUUUAUCAGCUAACUGUUUAGUCUUGAGCUUUUCUUUAAUGCACUUUUCAGUUAACAAGUCAACAUCAAUUUCUUUUGCUGUAAAAAAGCUUGAGGAAGGUGGCUUGAGAUUCGUCCUAAGUGUUUAUAGCCUCUUGCCUAUGCAGUCGGAGAGAUUGAGGUCUGCAGCGUAGAUCCUUCGGGGCUAAAUGCAUUUGUGCUAAGUUAUAGCAUUUAUAGACAACUUGUUGACUAUGAUUUGUCUUGUAGCUUACUCGCUUAUGUUAUUUUACCUACGCUUAGGAUGUUGACAGCAGUAUAGACUGU
rnacentral:rRNA from 1 species